CCAGGGAGAGUAUGUAUAGCAGAGGGGAUAGUGGACAACCCUGGCGUGUCCCAUUCGUAAUGUGAAAAGUUCGUGACAGGAAGCCUCCAUGGGAGACCCUAGCACUGGGUCGUGCGUACAGAGCCAAGAUUCCUCUGAUAACCUCUUCGGGGAACUGAUACUUGCACAGCACUUGUGUCAUAUAUUGCCAGUUAAGUCUGUCG